UGGGCAAAAAAACAGCAAAAAAGUAAGGCUAUAGCAUUAACUUUUCGUCCAUUUUUAGCGACUUUUGCCACUUUUCAUAAAUGGCCAAAAACAGCAAAAAAGUAAGGCUAUAGCAUUAACUUUUCAUCCAUUUUUAGCGACUUUUUUCAUUUUUAAUACAUAGGCAAAAAACAGCAAAAAAGUAAGGCUAUAUAUAGCCUUAACUUUUCGCCCAUUUUUAGCGACUUUUUUCAUUUUUAAUACAUAGGAAAACAAAAAACAGCAAAAAAGUAAGGCUAUAGCAUUAACUUUUCAUCCAUUUUUAGCGACUUUUUCCAUUUUUCAUAAGUGGGCAAAAAACAGCAAAAAAGUAAGGCUAUAGCAUUAACUUUUCAUCCAUUUUUAGCAACUUUCCAUUUUUCAUAAGUGGGCAAAAAACAGCAAAAAAGUAACGCUAUAGCAUUAACUUUUCAUCCAUUUUUAGCAACUUUUUCCAUUUUUCAUAAGUGGGCAAAAAACAGCAAAAAAGUAAGGCUAUAGCAUUAACUUUUCGUCCAUUUUUAGUGACUUUUUCCAUUUUUCAUAAGUGGGCAAAAAACAGCAAAAAAGUAAGGCUAUAGCAUUAACUUUUCAUCCAUUUUUAGCAACUUUUUCCAUUUUUCAUAAGUGGGCAAAAAAGUAAGGCUAUAGCAUUAACUUUUCGUCCAUUUUUAGCGACUUUUUCCAUUUUUCAUAAGUGGGCAAAAAACAGCAAAAAAGUAAGGCUAUAGCAUUAACUUUUCAUCCAUUUUUAGCAACUUUUUCCAUUUUUCAUAAGUGGGCAAAAAAGUAAGGCUAUAACCUUAACUUUUCGUCCAUUUUUAGCAACUUUUUCCAUUUUUCAUAAGUGGGCAAAAAACAGCAAAAAAGUAAGGCUAUAGCAUUAACUUUUCAUCCAUUUUUAGCGACUUUUUCCAUUUUUCAUAAGUGGGCAAAAAAC